UGAGCCGGCCAGGCGACCGCGGCGCGCGCUCUCGGGUGUCGCGUCGAGGAAGGUCCGGACUCCAUAGAGCGGGGUGGUGGGCAACACCCACCCGGGGCAACCCGUGGGAACAGUGCCACAGAAAGAAGACCGCCAACGGCCGCCGGGGCUUCGGCUCCGACGGUGCGGGCAAGGGUGAAAGGGUGGUGUAAGAGACCACCAGCGUCCCGGGUGACCGGGACGGCUAGGUAAACCCCACCUGGAGCAAGGCCAGGAGGCCGGGUCGCGUUAGCUCGCUACCCGGCUGCGCGGACGUUCGAGGGCUGCUCGCCCGAGUCCGCGGGUGGGCCGCACGAGGGCACCGGCGACGGUGCUCCCUAGAUGGAAGGUCGCCACG
rnacentral:RNase_P_RNA from 1 species